AGCUUUGCGCAUUGGCAUUAUCGUAACCAAUGGGGUCUAUCCGAGGUGCGAUUAUUGCUGGAAGA
rnacentral:snRNA from 1 species